rnacentral:rRNA from 1 species
AUUGAACGCUGGCGGCAGGCCUAACACAUGCAAGUCGAGCGAGCGGCGGACGGGUGAGUAAUGUAUGGGAAACUGCCCGAUAGAGGGGGAUAACUACUGGAACCGGUGGCUAAUACCGCAUACUAUCAGAUGUGCCCAGAUGGGAGUAUCUAGUAGGUGGGGUAACGGCUCACCUGGGCGACGAUCCCUAGCUGGUCUGAGAGGAUGAUCAGCCACACUGGAACUGAGACACGGCCCAGAUUCCUACGGGAGGCAGCAGUGGGUAAUAUUGCACAAUGGGCGCAAGCCUGAUGCAGCCAUGCCGCGUGUAUGAAGAAGGCCUUCGGGUUGUAAAGUACUUUCAGCGGGGAGGCGUUACCCGCAGAAGAAGCACCGGCUAACUCCGUGCCAGCAGCCGCGGUAAUUC